rnacentral:lncRNA from 1 species
GACCAGGGCCAGGAUCAGGGCCAGGUCUGUGCUAGGGCCAGCUCCAGAGCAGGGUCUAGCGAAGACUAGGGUAAGGGCCAAGGUAAGACCAGGGCAGGGUCAAAGGCAGAGUAGGGCCAGGGCAGGGUGAUGACACAUCCAGAGCACAGCAGGGCAGGGUGAUGGCAAGACCAGGGGCAGACCACUGCCAGCUCAGGGCCAGGGAAAGGCCAGUGCAGAGCCAGGAAAGGGUCUGGGUCUGGGUCAGGGCCAGGAACAAGGCAGAGCAGGGCCAGGGCCAUGGCAGAAUCAGGGCAGGUCCUUGACAGGACCAGGUUCCAGGCCAGGGCCAGGGCAGCAGCAGGGGCAGGGCCUGGAUAAGGGCAGGGCAGUACAGGGCCAGAUCCACAGCAGGCGCAGGGCAAAGCCAGGCCCAUUGCCAAUGCACCAGCCCUCCCUACAAGGCUCCUACCACCUGGUCACUGCUGCAGCCCGUCCAUUGCUGUAAGCCUGACCCUGGCUGCAGCCGCCUGCCCUCCUAGCAUGGCCGC